rnacentral:tRNA from 1 species
GAAAAUUUAGUUAAAAUAUAACAUUAGCUUGUCAGACUAAAAUUAAACUUAGAUUUAAUUUUCA